UUUAAGUUUUUAUAUGUUUUGUUGUUUGCAUAUAUAAUUAUGUUAGUUUUAGUUUUUUUUUUACUUCUUUAAUUUAUUUUUCAGCAAGAUAUUGUGUCUAUAUAUCUACGCCAUUAACGUCAAUGUAAACGUAAACAUGAAGCUUAAUCCAAUUUCUCUUUACUCAAAUCUUAGCAAUGCUUUCUCAAAAAGAUUUUACAAAAUCAACUAUGACGGAUCAAAUACGCAAAUAGUUAAUUAUAUGAGUAUAACAAAGAUCAUACCAGUUGUAUUUUAAAAAGAGUUGUAAUUGUAGCUUGAAUAAAAA
rnacentral:sRNA from 1 species